AUUUUUCUUCCUCUAAAACUGGCAAGUAAUCACGCCCAGAAAAUGACACCAGAGCCAGAAGGGACCCAACUCCUGAAUAUAAAGAAACGUUACAGAAUUCAUCUUCUAAGUCUCCACACAAGAACUCCAUAGCUCAUCAGUUAAUAGCAGAGUCUGUUCUGUCAUUUCAACAACCCAGCAGAAGAAACAGAGAAGAUGGAGCCAGCUGCAAAAGUAGCAUCAAUCUUCAUAUACCCAAUUAAGUCAUGUCGGGGCAUCUCUGUUUCACAAGCAUCACUGGCUCCUACAGGAUUUCGAUGGGAUCGUAACUGGUUAGUGGUGAACUCCAAAGGGAGGGCAUAUACCCAAAGAGUUGAACCGAAGCUUGCUCUGGUCGAGGUGGAGCUGCCACAUGAAGCAUGUUUGGAUGGUUGGGAACCUACUGCAAACUCUUUUAUGGAAAUAAAGGCUCCUAGGAUGGGCGUGCUUAAGAUACCACUGGCAAAAGCACAUGAAGUAGCGGAUAAUAUUUCAGUAUGGGAAUGGUCUGGCUCGGCAUUGGAUGAGGGAGCUGAAGCAGCAAGAUGGUUUUCAGAUUUUCUUGGGAAACCCAGUCGGCUAGUGCGUUUUAAUGCAGCAUCAGAAACUAGGGCUGUGGAUCCUAAUUACGCCCGCGGACACAGAGUUAUGUUUUCUGAUGGCUAUCCAUUCCUGCUACUAUCUCAGGGAUCAUUGGAUGCACUGAAUAAACUUCUCAAGGAGCCUGUUCCAGUUAACCGAUUUAGACCCAACAUCUUUAUUGAUGGCUGUGAACCAUUUUCUGAGGACUUGUGGACAGAAAUAAGGAUAAAUAAAUAUACAUUUGAAGGUGUCAAGCUAUGCUCCCGCUGUAAGGUACCUACAAUUGAUCAAGCUACUGGGGUGGCAAGCUCAGAACCAAAUGGAACUCUGAUGAAAAUUCGAUCCGACAACGUUCUGCGUCCGAGUAAGAAACAGCAAGGAAAGAUCUACUUCGGACAGAACUUGGUAUGGAAGGACAAUCUUAAUGAAGGAAAAGGGAACAUAGUUAAAUUGGGAGAUCCUGUCUUUGUUGUCAAGAAUGUCUCUUCUGCAGCUGAAGCCGCUGCCUGAACGUGAAACCUUGUUGCUCAGAAUAUUGUUUAAUCUCUGCAGAAUAUCUGCCAGUAUCCCCAGAAUUAUGGAGCAAUUUGAAAGAACAAAGAAAUAUUUAAGGACUAAACCGACAUAAGCCAAGACCAAAUAUAUUAAAAGGAGAAAAUGAGGGACCAAAAGGGGAUAUAGGACAAAAGAAAGAAGAAAAGAAAUAAAGGAAGAAGAAGAAGAGGGAAGAAGCUCGGGGGCUGCCAUCAAUGGUGGAAGAGGGAAGAAGAGGUCUGGGACGUGGUGGCGAUGGCUGGUGGAAGAGCAGACGACGGUGAGUACAGCAGCAAUGACGGCGUCAGUGAACGACGACGACAUGCGGUAGAAAAUGGCCAGAAAUGGCAGCAGCUGUUCGACGCCGUUCAUGGCAUUUCCGGCGACCAAUGGCGGCAGUUUUGGUCUUAAAAUGACCGGCGACUUAAGAGCUUUCUAAUGGGGGCAGCAGUAUCAGCAAUGGUGGCCGGAGAAGAGAGUUCUGACGAAGGAAAGGCAGCUGGAUUAUUGGACUUUUUCGGCCAUCUCCUACGAGAUAUAGCUGAUCGGAGUUCAUGGAUGAACUCCUCUAGUCACAAGCUUUCCGAUAACACUAAUUUUGCAGCGAUCGGACUCCGUUUGAAAAUCGACGGUCGAAACUGUCCGUAUGAUCAGGAAUUGGAUCGGAGAAUCAAGUGCUAGAAUCAUCGUCUUCUCGUUGUUUCGUGUCUGUAGACACACUCAGACCGUCGAUCGGACUCCGGCGGCUGAAGACGAGUCGACCGAUUUAUCAAACGUCUCGAUGAGACGGCAGUAGAAUAUGCCACAUGAUAGGUUGCAUCAGGACCCGUGCGCACCGGUAUAAAUCUAAGACAAGUAAUAAAAGAAUAUUUUAAGACUUUCCCUAGUCGAGUUGAACUCUUUAAGCUGUGAAGAGUUUGAUUGUCGGAUUAAAGGUAUCUGGUCGAGCGUUGCUCUUUAGGCGCCGGCUUUAUUGGAAAUUAAGUGACCAGACGGGAUUAAGGAUCCUGGUCGAGUUCUGCUCUCUGGGUGCCAGUCCUGUUGGAGUGAGAGAGCUGAAAGGCUAUUAGUGUUGGAGUUAGGGUUCUGCUAAAGUACUUGUUCCGUAACAUGUAACUUAUAUUUUAGUGAAUCAUGGCAUGACACGCGUUUUAAUAUGAUCUAAUAUUUUAUUUUGAUUAAAUAAAUAUUUUAUUGAGGUGAAAUUUUGAAUUAUAUGAUUUAA